rnacentral:rRNA from 1 species
AAGUCGAGGGGCAGCAUGAACUUAGCUUGCUAAGUUUGAUGGCGACCGGCGCACGGGUGAGUAACACGUAUCCAACCUGCCGAUGACUCGGGGAUAGCCUUUCGAAAGAAAGAUUAAUACCCGAUGGCAUAGUUCUUCCGCAUGGUAGAACUAUUAAAGAAUUUCGGUCAUCGAUGGGGAUGCGUUCCAUUAGGUUGUUGGCGGGGUAACGGCCCACCAAGCCUUCGAUGGAUAGGGGUUCUGAGAGGAAGGUCCCCCACAUUGGAACUGAGACACGGUCCAAACUCCUACGGGAGGCAGCAGUGAGGAAUAUUGGUCAAUGGACGAGAGUCUGAACCAGCCAAGUAGCGUGAAGGAUGACUGCCCUAUGGGUUGUAAACUUCUUUUAUACGGGAAUAAAGUGAGGCACGUGUGCCUUUUUGUAUGUACCGUAUGAAUAAGGAUCGGCUAACUCCGUGCCAGCAGCCGCGGUAAUACGGAGGAUCCGAGCGUUAUCCGGAUUUAUUGGGUUUAAAGGGAGCGUAGGCGGACGCUUAAGUCAGUUGUGAAAGUUUGCGGCUCAACCGUAAAAUUGCAGUUGAUACUGGGUGUCUUGAGUACAGUAGAGGCAGGCGGAAUCCGUGGUGUAGCGGUGAAAUGCUUAGAUAUCACGAAGAACUCCGAUUGCGAAGGCAGCCUGCUGGACUGUAACUGACGCUGAUGCUCGAAAGUGUGGGUAUCAAACAGGAUUAGAUACCCUGGUAGUCCACACAGUAAACGAUGAAUACUCGCUGUUGGCGAUAUACGGUCAGCGGCCAAGCGAAAGCAUUAAGUAUUCCACCUGGGGAGUACGCCGGCAACGGUGAAACUCAAAGGAAUUGACGGGGGCCCGCACAAGCGGAGGAACAUGUGGUUUAAUUCGAUGAUACGCGAGG